rnacentral:misc_RNA from 1 species
UGUGGGAGCGAGCCUGCUCGCGAUAGCGGUGGGUCAGCCAGCAUUUCUGAAACUGACUAACCGCCAUCGCGAGCAGGCUCGCUCCCACA